UAGUCCACGCCGUAAACGAUGGAUACUAGCUGUCGGGACUUCGGUCUCGGCGGCCAAGCGAAAGUGAUAAGUAUCCCACCUGGGGAGUACGUUCGCAAGAAUGAAACUCAAAGGAAUUGACGGGGGCCCGCACAAGCGGUGGAGCAUGUGGUUUAAUUCGAUGAUACGCGAGGAACCUUACCAGGGCUUAAAUGCAGUCUGCAUAAGCUAGAGAUAGCUUUUUCUUCGGACUGGCUGCAAGGUGCUGCAUGGUUGUCGUCAGCUCGUGCCGUGAGGUGUCAGGUUAAGUCCUAUAACGAGCGCAACCCCUGCCGUUAGUUGCCAGCAAGUAAUGUUGGGGACUCUAAAGAGACUGCCGGCGUAAGCCGCGAGGAAGGUGGGGAUGGACGUCAAAUCAUCAUGGCCUUUAUGCCUAGGGGCUACACACGUGCUACAAUGGCAGGGUACAGAGGGGUUGCGAACU
rnacentral:rRNA from 1 species